UAAGGAAUAUUGGUCAAUGGACGAAAGUCUGAACCAGCCAUCCCGCGUGCAGGAAGAAGGGGCUCUGCCUUGUAAACUGCUUUUGAAUGGGACGAAAGAGCUAUAUGCGUAUAGUGUUGACGGUACCAUUAGAAUAAGCACCGGCUAACUCCGUGCCAGCAGCCGCGGUAAUACGGAGGGUGCAAGCGUUAUCCGGAAUUACUGGGUUUAAAGGGUGCGUAGGCGGUGAUAUAAGUCAGUGGUGAAAGGCCGUAGCUUAACUAUGGGAUUGCCAUUGAUACUGUAUGACUUGAAUCAGGAUGAGGUUGGCGGAAUGUGGCAUGUAGCGGUGAAAUGCUUAGAGAUCGGGAGGAAGGCCGGUGGCGAAGGCGGCGCUCUGGAACGUUUCUGACGCUCAUGCACGAAAGCGUGGGGAGCAAACAGGAUUAGAUACCCCUGUAGUCCCUGAGCGGGCUGGCAAGGCGCAU
rnacentral:rRNA from 1 species